CUUCCAUAUCUUUCUCAACACACCUGAUCUCACCUGAUUUCAGAAGCUAAGCAGAAUUGGUCCUGAUUAGCAGUUGUUGAGGAUUCAAAGAGGUCUAGGAAAGAAGC
rnacentral:rRNA from 1 species